rnacentral:rRNA from 1 species
CAAACUGGGAUUAGAUACCCCACUAUGCUUAGCCCUAAACCUAGAUAGUUAACCCAAACAAAACUAUCCGCCAGAGAACUACUAGCAACAGCUUAAAACUCAAAGGACUUGGCGGUGCUUUAUAUCCCUCUAGAGGAGCCUGUUCCAUAAUCGAUAAACCCCGAUAAACCUCACCAUCUCUUGCUAAUUCAGCCUAUAUACCGCCAUCUUCAGCAAACCCUAAAAAGGAAGAAAAGUAAGCACAAGUAUCUUAACAUAAAAAAGUUAGGUCAAGGUGUAGCCCAUGAGAUGGGGAAGUAAUGGGCUACAUUUUCUACAACUAGAACAUCCACGAAAAUCCUUAUGAAAUUAAGUAUUAAAGGAGGAUUUAGUAGUAAAUUCGAGAAUAGAGAGCUCGAUUGAAUCGGGCCAUGAAGCACGCACACACCGCCCGUCACCCUCC